CUGGCGGCGUGCCUAAUACAUGCAAGUAGAACGCCGAAGGAGGAGCUUGCUUCUCCGGAUGAGUUGCGAACGGGUGAGUAACGCGUAGGUAACCUGCCUGGUAGCGGGGGAUAACUAUUGGAAACGAUAGCUAAUACCGCAUAAGAGUAGAUGUUGCAUAACAUUUGCUUAAAAGGUGCAAUUGCAUCACUACCAGAUGGCCCUGCGUUGUAUUAGCUAGUUGGUGGGGUAACGGCUCACCAAGGCGACGAUACAUAGCCGACCUGAGAGGGUGAUCGGCCACACUGGGACUGAGACACGGCCCAGACUCCUACGGGAGGCAGCAGUAGGGAAUCUUCGGCAAUGGACGGAAGUCUGACCGAGCAACGCCGCGUGAGUGAAGAAGGUUUUCGGAUCGUAAAGCUCUGUUGUAAGAGAAGAACGAGUGUGAGAGUGGAAAGUUCACACUGUGACGGUAUCUUACCAGAAAGGGACGGCUAACUACGUGC
rnacentral:rRNA from 1 species